rnacentral:ncRNA from 1 species
CUUAUCAAGAGAAGUGGAGGGACUGGCCCUAGGAAGCUUCGGCAACAUGGUAAUGCGUGUGCCAAUUCCAGUAGCAGCAAACAUACUGCUAGAAGAUAAG